rnacentral:rRNA from 1 species
CACGCCGUAAACGAUGGAUACUUGUUGUUAGAGGUAUUGACCCCUUUAGUGACGAAGCUAACGCGUUAAGUAUCCCGCCUGGGGAGUACGGUCGCAAGAUUAAAACUCAAAGAAAUUGACGGGGGCCCGCACAAGCGGUGGAGCAUGUGGUUCAAUUCGAUGCAACGCGAAAAACCUUACCUAGAUUUGACAUACUGUGGAAGAUUCUGAGAAAUCAGGUCGCCUUCGGGCCGCAGUACAGGUGC